UACGUAGGGUGCGAGCGUUAAUCGGAAUUACUGGGCGUAAAGCGUGCGCAGGCGGUUAUGUAAGACAGUUGUGAAAUCCCCGGGCUCAACCUGGGAAUUGCAUCUGUGACUGCAUAGCUAGAGUACGGUAGAGGGGGGAUGGAAUUCCGCGUGUAGCAGUGAAAUGCGUAGAUAUGCGGAGGAACACCGAUGGCGAAGGCAAUCCCCCUGGACCUGUACUGACGCUC
rnacentral:rRNA from 1 species